UCCCAGGCGGCCUGGUUUCAGGAGUCACCCUGGUGGCACGAGUCACCGCCACCCAGAGAGGCACAGGUUGGAAGACCUUGUGCUCGGGUGAGCACGCUGGCUGCGCGCAGGUGUGUUUGGUGCAGUGUCCAGGGCAACCGUGGCUCAGCCACCUUUAGGUUAGGGUCUCCGUGGUAACGAAAUGGAGGGCAACAAGUGCAGCACACAGGGCUGUUCAGUCUCACGCACAAGCCGGGCUGGAUCCCGCUGGGUUUGUCGUUUUGAGGCAGGGUCUCGCUGUGCAGUGCAGGCUGGCCUUGAGCUCAUUCUUGUAGCCGAGGCCGGUCUGAACUCACGACGGCCCUCCUGCCUCAGCCUCCCAAGCCUGGGAUUACAGGCAUGCGCCCCCACGCCCAGCUUCCGCGAGUGUUUGCCCGCGCCGACUCAGCCUCAUUCACCUUCGGACAUGGCUGCCCAGCCAGCCCCUCCGUGCCCAGGAGUGAGCCCCAGCUCUGUGGGGAGCUGUCCUCUGUGGAAACCAACUUAUCCUCUUCUAUUUCGAGGUUACUUGGCUGGCCUUGAAUUCCUAGUGAUCCUCCUGCCUCAGCCUCCUGCGUUCUGGGAUCAUGGGUGUGUACCACCAUGCCUUGCUUCUAUGCAUCAUUAAAAAAUGGUCUCGUUGAUCCGGUGGGUGCUGGUUCCUUUCUCUCUGUAUUUCAGAGGUGAAAGGCAGAGGAAAAUACGUGCAAAUGCAAGUUCUCAUCCUGCAAACGGCUUAGCUGCAACCGCCUUGCCGACUACUGUCUGCGACUCGCUGUCCAGCUUCCUUGGCAACUUGGCUGCUCCUGGCCCAUGUGGUUCGGACUCCAUGUACCCAGCAUCUGUCUAGGUCUUGUCCAAAUCUUUGCUCAAGAUGACAAGAACCUGGGAAGAGUCUCUCAAAAGAGUCCAUAGAACCCCAGAAUCCUGGAACAACCUGGCAUCCUGGUGGGCCUGGGACACCUAUGCUCCCCCCUGAGAACUUAGGGAGUCUUCCUGAACCCCAGUUUUAUCUGUCAAAUGAGGGCUUUAGAGUGAGUGAAUUGAGGACUUUUGUUACCGAAAGCUGACCACACUUCUGCCUGUUCUGCAUCACCGUCUCCUGCCUACCAGGGGCUCCUCCGCGGGCCCGGGCCUCUUUUCCUGGCUGUAGGGUGAGGUGAGGGGUGGCAGGCGCUCCCCGGCGUGUUGGGAAAGCGCAGCCUGUGAUACCACACAGUGAUGCACCUCCUGGCUGUUACACCAUGCACAAGUCCUUCAGAGCACUCUGGCUCGGGGUUCUGAGUGGAAUCUCACAUCCGUGUGCUGACGAUUCCUGCAAGCUGUAAAGGCACAUACGCAAGCAGCAAGCGUACAGCCCCGAGGACCAAGCCGGCACCCUCUGUGGCCCCUCAAGUGGGUCCACGACUGAAAUCCCAUCUUCAGGCCUGAGUGGGGGCCGACUAGACAAACCCUUUCCUGGUGGCUCUGAUCCUGCACUAACUUGCCUUGCUCAAGAUAUGAAUCACAUGCCUCGUUCUUCCACAGUGUUUGUAAUUCCAAUUGUUCGUUCUAGUUAGGAAACAGCAAAAUCAGAUUAUCCACCGCUGCCCAUUCUAAUGGGGCCAUUGUCCAGGACCAUAACUGCGAAAGGUCACUGGGUUGCCUGAGGCAGGGGUGCGGGUUUGGGUCUGCUUUGACACAGAGCCAAAAAGCCUGGUCAGACCACAGCCUGGCGCCUGGACAAGGUCAGCAGGCACAGCAGGAGGAGGACCGGGUGUGCUCAGCCCUUGCUCUCUGCCACUUUCUCUCUGCUGCUUCCUCCCCUCGAAGCCCGGCCCUAAAGCCCAGGCUGCUCUGGAAGGAGCUGGCCUCUCCAUCCCCAGGCCGCCUGUGGGGUGCUCGGAGCCUGGCACUGUGCCCUGAAUCAGCGCCUGAGCAAAGUCGUCCGUCGUCGUCCCUCGGAUUGAGGUUGAGAGAGAGCUUGGCACAAAUGAUCUGUGACACAGAGCGCUGGACUGAAGGGAGAUGGGGUCCAAGGACCCGCUUCCAUCACAGCAGAGACAGCUAGGAUGAAGAGUCCUACCCUGUGCUAAACGCAGGUGUCUGGGGACAUCUCGGGGGCGAGCUCAUGGGUUCCUCGGUGCCGUCAGGCUCUUGUGUGGAGGCAGAUGUGUUUCUAGAGCAGGGGACCGAGGCCGAAGCUGGAACCACACGAGAAAUGUCACAGACCUGGGGCUGGAAGGGGCUCCAGGACCCUGUCUACCUUUAGUUCCUGCCUUCGGGAGUUUUGAGUCAUGAGCUCACUCAUGCUUGUGUACAAGGUCACCAAGUUCAGCCUGGCGUGGUGGGGCACCUGUUAUCCCAGCAUUCGGGAGGCUAAGGCAGGAGGAUUGCCACGAGUUCAGGCCCAGCUUGGGCU